rnacentral:rRNA from 1 species
GAUGAACGCUGGCGGCGUGCUUAACACAUGCAAGUCGAACGAUGAAGCCCAGCUUGCUGGGUGGAUUAGUGGCGAACGGGUGAGUAACACGUGAGUAACCUGCCCUUAACUCUGGGAUAAGCCUGGGAAACUAGGUCUAAUACCGGAUAGGAGCGCCUACCGCAUGGUGGGUGUUGGAAAGAUUUAUCGGUUUUGGAUGGACUCGCGGCCUAUCAGCUUGUUGGUGAGGUAAUGGCUCACCAAGGCGACGACGGGUAGCCGGCCUGAGAGGGUGACCGGCCACACUGGGACUGAGACACGGCCCAGACUCCUACGGGAGGCAGCAGUGGGGAAUAUUGCACAAUGGGCGAAAGCCUGAUGCAGCGACGCCGCGUGAGGGAUGACGGCCUUCGGGUUGUAAACCUCUUUCAGUAGGGAAGAAGCGAAAGUGACGGUACCUGCAGAAGAAGCACCGGCUAACUACGUGCCAGCAGCCGCGGUAAUACGUAGGGUGCGAGCGUUAUCCGGAAUUAUUGGGCGUAAAGAGCUCGUAGGCGGUUUGUCGCGUCUGUCGUGAAAGUCCGGGGCUUAACCCCCGGAUCUGCGGUGGGUACGGGCAGACUAGAGUGCAGUAGGGGAGACUGGAAUUCCUGGUGUAGCGGUGGAAUGCGCAGAUAUCAGGAGGAACACCGAUGGCGAAGGCAGGUCUCUGGGCUGUAACUGACGCUGAGGAGCGAAAGCAUGGGGAGCGAACAGGAUUAGAUACCCUGGUAGUCCAUGCCGUAAACGUUGGGCACUAGGUGUGGGGACCAUUCCACGGUUUCCGCGCCGCAGCUAACGCAUUAAGUGCCCCGCCUGGGGAGUACGGCCGCAAGGCUAAAACUCAAAGGAAUUGACGGGGGCCCGCACAAGCGGCGGAGCAUGCGGAUUAAUUCGAUGCAACGCGAAGAACCUUACCAAGGCUUGACAUGUUCUCGAUCGCCGUAGAGAUACGGUUUCCCCUUUGGGGCGGGUUCACAGGUGGUGCAUGGUUGUCGUCAGCUCGUGUCGUGAGAUGUUGGGUUAAGUCCCGCAACGAGCGCAACCCUCGUUCCAUGUUGCCAGCACGUAAUGGUGGGGACUCAUGGGAGACUGCCGGGGUCAACUCGGAGGAAGGUGAGGACGACGUCAAAUCAUCAUGCCCCUUAUGUCUUGGGCUUCACGCAUGCUACAAUGGCCGGUACAAUGGGUUGCGAUACUGUGAGGUGGAGCUAAUCCCAAAAAGCCGGUCUCAGUUCGGAUUGGGGUCUGCAACUCGACCCCAUGAAGUCGGAGUCGCUAGUAAUCGCAGAUCAGCAACGCUGCGGUGAAUACGUUCCCGGGCCU